GACGAACGCUGGCGGCGUGCUUAACACAUGCAAGUCGAACGGAAAGGCCCUGCUUUUGUGGGGUGCUCGAGUGGCGAACGGGUGAGUAACACGUGAGUAACCUGCCCUUGACUUUGGGAUAACUUCAGGAAACUGGGGCUAAUACCGGAUAGGAGCUCCUGCUGCAUGGUGGGGGUUGGAAAGUUUCGGCGGUUGGGGAUGGACUCGCGGCUUAUCAGCUUGUUGGUGGGGUAGUGGCUUACCAAGGCUUUGACGGGUAGCCGGCCUGAGAGGGUGACCGGCCACAUUGGGACUGAGAUACGGCCCAGACUCCUACGGGAGGCAGCAGUGGGGAAUAUUGCACAAUGGGCGGAAGCCUGAUGCAGCAACGCCGCGUGCGGGAUGACGGCCUUCGGGUUGUAAACCGCUUUCGCAUGUGACGAAGCGUGAGUGACGGGAAUGGGUAAAGAAGCACCGGCUAACUACGU
rnacentral:rRNA from 1 species